CUGCAUGGGUUCGGGCUUUUCUUGCGCAGGAUAGGUGGGAGGCUAAGAUAACAAUCUUGCGGGAUUAUUGGAGCCACUGGUGAGAUACCACUCUGGAAAAGCUAGAAUUCUAACCUUGAAAGCCGUUAUCCGGCCAAGGAACAGUUCCAGGUAGGCAGUUUGACUGGGGCGGUCGCCUCCUAAAAAGUAACGGAGGCGCGCAAAGGUUCUCUCAGGCUGGUCGGAAAUCAGUCGUAGAGUGUAAAGGCAUAAGAGAGCUUGACUGUGAGACCUACAAGUCGAACAGAGACGAAAGUCGGCCUUAGUGAUCCGGCGGUACCGAGUGGAAGGGCCGUCGCUCAACGGAUAAAAGUUACUCUAGGGAAACAAAGGCUGAA
rnacentral:rRNA from 1 species